CGUCUGCUGGUUUCAUAUAGAAUCCAUCGUGGGGCGCCCGUUCACUUAAUUCUAAGUAUGGUCCUUUUUCUAUUAAAAAUAACAUUUCCUACAAGUUUCCUCCUGGGACACAUUUUAAUAAAACAGCAGAGCUGCACUUCACUGUCCUGACAGUCAGCUUAGCUGACAUUUUGUGGUGAUUUGUAAGAAAUGCAUAAACUGACUAAUGUUCAGCUAUGAUAUGAGUCUAUAUGAAAAAAUAUCUAUUGGAUAUUUUAAAUGUUAUAUUACAUGUGAAUAAAUGUGACUAUUUAACUGUUUAACUCUGUCCAACAUACAGGGAAUGUUUUUACAUAUUUCCACCUGUUGGACAUCAAAUACAUUCUGCAUUCAUUUAAAGAGAAACUUUAUUAAGUGAUGUAGUUAUUAAAGACAAACUUUUACUGUUUUUUUUUAGAAAAUGAUGUCACGGUCUUCGUUAAAUGUAGUGGUUUGGAGACCAUAGCGAUCCACCUGUGUGACAAUAAGUUUCAGAGCGUCACAGUGCUGCAGCUGAAGGAGAAGUUGGAGCCUCUCUUUGGAGUCCCAGUAGAAGAACAGCGACUGAUCUUCUCAGGCAAACAGCUGGAGGACGAUGCUCUGCUGGUUUCAUGUGGAAUCCAACACAAGACAACCAUUGAGUUAAUUCUAAAUGUCACUGUCAUCGUGAAAGAUUUGACUGGGGAGACCAUAAAGAUCGACCUACAUGAGUUUGAGAGCAUCACAGUGCUGCAGCUGAAGGAGAAGUUGGAGCCUCUAACAGGAGAACCAGGUAACAUCAUGUUCAUGAUUAAAAUGACCAGUAGAAGCGUGCAGAGUUUAGUCUAAUGCUAAAAUGAUGGACUACAGAUCAGAUUAGGUUCAUACUUGUAUUCCUGGUUGCUACUUGAACAUGUUGUGAAUAUAUAUCUGUAUUCACUCUCAACAUUUAGCUGUGUCUCCUUAAGGCCUCCUCUCAAACAGGCAGUCUGCUCUGAUUGGUCAGUGUUUGUGUCACUUCAGCUGAAUGAGCGUUAAGGCCCAGUGACAGCACUUUCUGCCUCUACUUCACUAUAUUUAUAACAUCACAACUUAAGAGAAGAACUUCAAUCUGUGUGAGUGGAUGAGUUUAAUGAUCAGAUGGUUGAUACUAUGGACCAUGGAGUGUGACUGCAGCUCUAAAAGGAUCAACUAACAUUAC